rnacentral:lncRNA from 1 species
GCUUAAUGUUUUAGUCUUCUUCCUAUUUUAGUACUCAAUAUACAUGGUCUAAAUUUAAGCGAUUUCUGUAAUUUAGUUGUUUUUUUUUAUUUCGAUAUUACCUUUUUUUCUCCUAUAAGUUCAACAGAAAAAAAUUACCUUAACAUAAAUGCAUGCUUCUUUUGAAGGCAGAGUGUGAGCUUAAAUGAACGGUGACCCCAUAUUUUUAUUUUAUUUUUCUAUUAGGAAUAGGCUAAAGUUUAUUUAUAAAAAAAAAAAAAAAAAAUAGCGAAAUCCUAUCUAAGAAAAAAAAAAAAGAUUUAUACUCGCGAGUCCCCUUAAAUUCGUUUAUCUAUUAUCAUGUAUGUUCAGUUUUAGGCUUUUUAUUACCCGGUCCUUUGGACAUUUACC